CAACAACAACAACAACAAAACCUUUUCCCACUAAGUGGGGUCGGCUAUAUGAAUCCUAGAACGCCAUUGCGCUCGGUUUUGUGUCAUGUCCUCCGUUAGAUCCAAGUACUCUAAGUCUUUUCUUAGAGUCUCUUCCAAAGUUUUCCUAGGUCUUCCUCUACCCCUUCGGCCCUGAACCUCUGUCCCGUAGUCACAUCUUCGAACCGGAGCGUCAUUCGGCCUUCUUUGCACAUGUCCAAAUCACCGGAGCCGAUUUUCUCUCAUCUUUCCUACAAUUUCGGCUACUCCUACUUUACCUCGGAUAUCCUCAUUCCCAAUCUUAUCCUUUCUCGUGUGCCCACACAUCCCACGAAGCAUCCUCAUCUCCGCUACACCCAUUUU
rnacentral:lncRNA from 1 species